AACGAACGCUGGCGGCAUGCCUAACACAUGCAAGUCGAACGAGACCUUCGGGUCUAGUGGCGCACGGGUGCGUAACGCGUGGGAACCUGCCCUUAGGUUCGGAAUAACUCCCCGAAAGGGGUGCUAAUACCGGAUAAUGUCUUCGGACCAAAGAUUUAUCGCCUUUGGAUGGGCUCGCGUUGGAUUAGCUAGUUGGUAGGGUAAAAGCCUACCAAGGCGACGAUCCAUAGCUGGUCUGAGAGGAUGAUCAGCCACACUGGGACUGAGACACGGCCCAGACUCCUACGGGAGGCAGCAGUGGGGAAUAUUGGACAAUGGGCGAAAGCCUGAUCCAGCAAUGCCGCGUGAGUGAUGAAGGCCUUAGGGUUGUAAAGCUCUUUUACCCGGGAUGAUAAUGACAGUACCGGGAGAAUAAGCGCCGGCUAACUCCGUG
rnacentral:rRNA from 1 species